UGAUACUAUACAUCCUGUAUAAUGUGUACAGUGCUUACUUAGUGGUUAGAUAAUCUAGAAGUCAUUAGUUGUAAUAACUUAUUCUUUAUGUCUAAUGGAGAGGGGAUGUAGUGAUAGUAUAGUUGUAUAUAUAGAAACUAACCACUAGGUGUCAGUAUUAUUAUACUUACCUGGGAUAUAGACAGACAGAGAGUUAGACCAUCACAUGUGUUGUUGCUGUUCCUGCUCGCAACCUGAAAGUGAAUUAAAAGAUAAGUUUAAUUACAAAAAAUUUCUUCAUUGAAAUAAGAAACAUUACAGUACACAGACUGUUUAGCCUUUGUAAUUAUUAUUAAUAUUUUUUCUCUCUUUCAUAGUUCCACUACUAUUCCCGGACACCUUCUCUCUUAAACUCCUCCUUCUCAGGUGACUCAUGAAAGUGAAACUAUUACAGCGGGUCUGUUUUAUCGAAUGAAGAAGUAAACUACAUUAAGAGAGAAAAACACAAUGAAACCAUGGCCUCCAGAAUGAAUCUCUCUGAAGAACAUGACACACAGAUAAAGACAGUCAAGAGUCUGUGUCAGAAUGAAUCUCCUGAACCCAGCUGUGUGUCCAUCAAGAGUGACGCGUCAAUGGGUC